GGACUUAAUUAGAUUGAGCCUUGGUAUGGAAACCUACUAAGGAAUAACUUUCAAAUUCAGAGAAACCCUGGAAUUAAAAAUGGGAUAUCCUGAGCCAAAUCCUUUUUUUGAAAAAAAAAAAAGGCAGGUGCAAAGACUCAAUGGAAGCU
rnacentral:ribozyme from 1 species